UCUUUUACUCUUCUCUUUCAUUCAUCUUCUUCUGUCUUCUAUUUCUUUCUUCAUCUGUUCUUCUUCGUUUUCUCCUCUGUCCGUAGGCUUUGGUGAUUUGAGGGGUGAUAUGAUGGUUCUGUGAUCUGUAGAAGGUGGGGAAGAUCUUUCAGUAGUCGGUGGUGAUGGUGGUGGUGUCCGUAAUCGAUUUAGAAUUGAAGGAGGAAGCUAAUUAGUAAGAGUAGAAUUAGGGUUUCUCUGAGAGUUGUGUAGAAGAUCGAUUGAUAAUGAAUAAGAUGGAAUUAAAGAUGGGUUUUGUGUAUUGUACGCAAAAGAGAGGAUUUAGUAUCUGAUUUUUUAUUCACAGAGAGGAAUUAGGGUUUAUAAGGAAUUCAGAGAAGUUUUAGAAUGAAAAAUUGAAGGUAAUUCUGAAUAAUUAAGGAUGGGUUUGAUAGAGUUUGAAGAAAAAGAUAUGCCGAAUCCAGUCAAGUAAGAAGAAGGGUUGAAUUGUAUUUCUGGAUUGGAAAUUACUUUGACGUAAUGGUACUCUCUGUAAUCUCAGUAAAGUUAUUUGGUUUUUAUUUUGAAGUUGUGUAAUUUAUUUCAUGGAAUUGAGAUGUUGUUGAUAUGAAGAUGAUGACGAAUUUUGAACCAUAGCUGCAGGUUAUGGUUGAAUUCUUGUGGUAGUAUGUGUGUGGUGUGAGAUGAGGUUGUAGGUGUUAUGAAUUAUUUUUUGGUGAAUGAGAUAGUCCUACAGGGAUUGAGCUUUAAGGACUGGUGUUGAUUGCAUGGAGUUAUAGUGAACUGAAUAAUGGAAUGGUGUUACAGAGUAUGCAUGAGAGGAUAGUGUUAAUGAAAUUGCAGGACAUGAGUGUGCCUUGGCUAUGUUUGAAGUUGAGGUGUUUUUAGAGUCUGUUGAGUAUUACAAAGUGGUUAUGAGAUGGGUAUCAUAUGAAGUUUGGUUGUAUCUGAAUUAUCUUGAGUUGCAGAGAAUUGUAGAUGAUGCAAGAAUUGAUCUUUGUUUUAAGUUGGAAGUGUUGCUGGUGCUGAGCUGAGUUACAGGUAAUGGUGUUUAACCGGUAUUGUGUUGCUUUGAGUAAAGAAAUUAUAGUUGAUGGAAUUGUUGUAAUGAGUAGUUGCGAAAGAUGGAUUACAGAUAUGUGCAAUUGUAGAGGGGUUGCUUGUAAAGAAGAUGAUGUUGUUGUUGGAACUCAGUUGAGUGUGCUGAUUUGCCUUAGCUGUAGUGUUGAACUGAACUCAGUUGAGUGGUAUGUGGUUUGGGUUAUAACUGAUGGAGAGUGGAUUGUAAUUGCUGAAUUUAAGUUACAUAAGGGAACAUUUGAGUUGUAGUGAAGAAUAAUGGUUAUGCUUGAUCUAGUUGAAUGAGAUAAUCUGAGUUGGAGUGGGUCUGGAUGUUGUGCUGGUAGGAGUAGAUGUUUUAUUGAAGCGGCAGUAGCUGUGAAAGCCUGCUUUUGCAAACCUAGUUAGUCGAUUAACAACGAUCGAUUCAAGGAUGAACCAUUGGAUCGUGGAUCUCGAGGUAGGCGUGGCUUGUCAUCAAAAGAGUUUCAGAGACAAAUCAGAGUUGAGCAGUGAAAGCUUCAAGGAGUUGACUCUGUUAAUUAGUUAAGUUCUGCUAUGUUUAUUAUGUUGUUUAUUCUAUUUGCAAACAAAAUGACUAUUGUAUAUGUAUCAUUUGAGAGAAGUUCAUGUAUAUAUAUUUCUGAGCGGGGUUAGUUUGGGUUAAGUUUUUUUAUAGCAGAUUUCUUAAUUGAAUGCUUAAGUAUUUGUUUUAGAAUCGUAGUGCCUCUUUAUUUAGUUAAUCUGUUGGAUUAGUCAGCUGCUAGCUUAGGGGCGCUACAACCAUGCACCCUGAGCCAAAACAAGAUGUGUGUGUAAAUCCAUAUUCUCAUAACCAUAAGGAUCAAAUUUAAAAGAACAUUUUUUAUCUCUAGUGAACCUAACAACAGACAACAGAUUAUGCUUCAUCUUUGGAACAUGCAGAACAUUCUUUAAUGUGAAGGAUGAAGUAGGUGUAGUCAAAGUUGAAGUACCAGUAAGUGAAUAAGGUAAGGA